AAAUCGCAGUGUUCCUCCUCUCUGGCUGACUGCAGGUCCUGUUACCUGCUCCUGUCACCGCCUUUGUGACUCUCCCAUGCUGUUCUCUGAGGACCUCCUCCUUCCUUCGAUUGUAUCUCCAGGCAUGUCCUGUCUGUCUGUCCCUGUGUUGUGUUGUGUUGUGUGUGUGUGUUUGUGUGUGAGUGAGUGUGUGUGUUUGUAUGUGAGUGUUUGUGUGUGUGAGUGUGUGUGUUUGUAUGUGAGUGUUUGUGUGUGUGAGAGUGUGUUUUUGUAUGUGAGUGUUUGUGUGUGUGUGUGUGUGUGUGUGUGUGAGUGCGUGUGUGUCCCGCCCAUGCUUCUCCAGCCUUUCGUUUACACACCUAUACCUGUCUUGUGAGCAGGA
rnacentral:lncRNA from 1 species